AGAAUCAACGCUGGCGGCGUGCCUAACACAUGCAAGUCGAACGAGAAAGUGGAGCAAUCCAUGAGUAAAGUGGCGCACGGGUGAGUAACACGUGACUAACCUACCCUUGAGUGGGGGAUAAACCUAGAGAAAUCUGGGCUAAUACCGCAUAAUACCUUCGGGUCAAAAGGAGCAAUUCGCUUAAGGAGGGGGUCGCGGCCGAUUAGUUAGUUGGCGGGGUAAUGGCCCACCAAGACUGUGAUCGGUA
rnacentral:rRNA from 1 species